GACGGAAGGUGCAAGCGUUGCUCGGAAUCAUUGGGCGUAAAGGGUGCGUAGGCGGCGCGGUAAGUCGGGUGUGAAAUCUUGGAGCUUAACUCCGAAACUGCAUUCGAUACUGCCGUGCUUGAGGACUGGAGAGGAGACUGGAAUUUACGGUGUAGCGGUGAAAUGCGUAGAUAUCGUAAGGAAGACCAGUGGCGAAGGCGGGUCUCUGGACAGUUCCUGACGCUGAGGCACGAAGGCCAGGGGAGCAAACGGG
rnacentral:rRNA from 1 species